AUGAUAAAGGAGGAGCGUCAGGAGUUUUCCCUUAAGAUGGCGAAGAUGCGUCUUGAGAUUGAAGAAAAGUAUAAGAGGGACUGUGAGUACAUGGAAUUUUUUUUUCUUAGGCUACAAGGAAAUGCAUCAAACGUUGCAGAAGGACCGGAAGCUUGUGGACAGUAUUAUACAGACAGAGCGAGUCAAGAUGGAUGCCUAUGUGUUGCAGGAACGUGCGGAUAUGGAUAG
rnacentral:rRNA from 1 species